rnacentral:hammerhead_ribozyme from 1 species
AGAUAGCGAGUCCCAAAUAGGACGAAAUGCGCGUCCUAUAU